rnacentral:lncRNA from 1 species
AGGGAAAAUAAGUCAAUAUAUCAAAAAGACACCUGCACAUGUAUAUUUAUUGCAAUACAAUUCACAACUGUAAAGAUACGGCACCAACCUAAGUGCCCACUGGCCAAUGAGUGGCUAAAGAAAAUGUGGUAUGUAUAUACCACUGAACAUUUCUCAGCCAUAAGAAUGAAUGAAAUAAUGUCUUUUGCAGCAACUCAGAUUGAGUGAGAGGCCAUUAUUCUAAAUGAAAUAACUCACGAAUGGUAAACCAAAUAACUUUUGUUCUUACCUAUAAAUGUAAGCUAAGCUAUGGGUGUGUAAAGGCAUACAGAGUGACAUAAUGAAAUUGAGAGACUUAGAAGAGGGAGGUUGAAAGGAGCUAAGGAUUAAAAAAUUACACAUUGGGUACCAUGUAUACCACUCCAGUGAUGGGUGCACUAAAAUCUCAGACUUCACCACUAUAUAAUUCAUCCGUGUAACCAAAAACCAUUGUAUCCCCAAAGCCACUGAAAUAGUAAAAAAAAAAAAAAAAAAAAAAAAUAGCCAUUAAAAAUUCCUGGAACCAAGAAGUACAAUAUUUGGAAUUAAAAAUUUACUAGAUCAGCUUAAAGGCAGAUUGGAUACUAAGAAGAAAGUGUCAGUGAACUUGAAAAGAGAUCAAUAAAAAUUAUGCAAUUUGUAAAACACAGAGAAACAAGAUUAAAAUAGACUAAUACCUAAGUGAUAUGAGAAAAAAAUAUUAAGUAGCCUAAUGUAUAUAAGAUUGGAGGGCUAGAAAGAGGGCAGUAGGAACAUGGAGAACAAACAUUUUUCAAAAAGCAAUAGUUGAAUAUUUCCCGAAUUUGAUGAAAAAUAUCAACCAAGAGUUCCAAGAAAUUCAGUGAACCCAAAUUAGGAUAAAUUCUAAGAAAACUAGGCAUAUAAGAAUCAAACUUCUAAAAAACUAGAGAUAAGAGAAAAAUCUUUAAAGCAACCAGGGAAAGACAGAGCAUAUUAUGUUCCAGGAAAUUAAAAAAAAUUCAAAUGACUUUUAUCAGAAAAAAUGGAGGCCAGAACACAACAGAAUGUGAUUUUCAAAGCAUUGACUUUCAAAGAAGACAACCAUCAAACCAGAAUUCUAUAUCCAGUGAAAAGCAUAUUAAGCACUAUUUAACAGAUAAAGAAACAGGAAAAUUCCUAAUUAUAAUUGGAGGUUUUAUGUUAAAUUUUUAAAUUAUUUUUCAAAACAAUUUUUUUGUGGGCACAUAAUAGGUAUAUAUAUUUAUGGGGUACAUGAGAUGUUUUGAUACAGGCAUGCAAUGUGAAAUAAGCACAUUAUGGAAAAUGGGGUAU